CCCAGAUGAGGGGGGCAGUCCCAACAUCUGCUGGGGUCUCACCAAAAGGAUUAUCCACCCUGCCAAGAAAUGGAUGGAAACACAGGUGGCUGUGUAUUGAGAAGAUAUGUACAGCUGCUCAAUUCCCUGGAAGAGUGAGCACCUGCCAGACAUUGGCUGGAGCUGUUGAACAAAGCUAAUUUCUCCUGCCAAAGAAAGUAGAAUUUACAAAGAGCUGAGAAGAUCAUAAAUUCACUGAAAUGUUGUACAGACAAAAAGAUUUUCAGACCUGGAACCAUUACUUGAAAAAUCAACAAUAAGGAUGGCCUGCUGUCAGCAUAAGUCAUCAGAAAUCUGUUUCUUCACACGGAGAAGGAUUUUUCCAAAGCUGCCUCAACUACUGCUAGUUGUAUUUUGUGAGACCAGCUGAGCCCUGACCAACUUCUGAGCAUGGAGACAACUCUAUAAAGUCACUGUUUUUGAAUCUGCAGUCAACAAAAACAAUCAUGAUAAUAGUUAAAGGACUGCAAAGGAUUUUG